CACCACCAAAUCCCCCACCAGCACCACCUCCACUUCCACCACCAACCCCACCUCCGGCACCACCCCCGAAUCCACCUCCUACACCGCCACCUUUGCCACCUCCAAAGCCCCCACCAGCACCACCUCCACUUCCACCGCCAACUCCACCUCCGGCACCAGCCCCAGCACCACCUCCCAAGCCACCACCAGCACCGCCUCCACCUCCUACACCACCACCAAAUCCCCCACCAGCACCACCACCUAAACCACCUCCUAGGCCUUCAGAAAAUGUUUCUUUCUCAAUCUUACGACACUCAGCUAUUGCUAGCACCACUACAAACAUCACAGCAAACAACCCAACAAACUUAGAAAACUUCCCCAUGUUUCCCCCAAUAGCAAAUAAAUUAAAGAGAGAUCGAUAUAU
rnacentral:lncRNA from 1 species